AAAAGCUUUUUUAAGGGCACACAGAGGAUGCCUUGAUAUGUAGUACCGAAGAAGGACGUGAUAGUCUGCGAUAAGCUUGGGGGAGCUGACAAUGAGUUUUGAUCCCAAGAUUUCCGAAUGGGGCAACCCACUCUGGGUCAUGCCAGAGUACUUCUGCCUGAAUAUAUAGGGUAGAUAGAGGGAACCGCGUGAACUGAAACAUCUUAUUAGCGCGAGGAAGAGAAAGUAAUCAACGAUUCCGUGAGUAGUGGCGAGCGAAAAUGGAAUAGCCCAAACCUUUUAGAUUUUUUGUUCAUCAAUUUUGAUGAUCAAAAUAAGUUGGUAGACGAAUAUCUAUAAGGGGUUGCAAGAUUAUACAAGAUCAAGCAAGAGUUCUUUGUUCUGUAAGGUUCAGAGAGUUCUUGUUUGUGAAGUUUACUGCCAAUUGAACUGUGAUAAAUAGACUUAGUUAAAAGAACAAGCUGGAAAGCUUGGCCGAAGAGAGUGAAAGCCUCGUAUUUGAAAAUUAAGUUUAGAAAUCAUCUGUAUUUUCUUAAGUAGGUCGGGACACGUGAAACCCUGACUGAAUCUAGGAGGACCACCUCCUAAGGCUAAAUAUACUACAUGAUCGAUAGUGAACGAGUACCGUGAGGGAAAGGUGAAAAGAACCCCGGGAGGGGAGUGAAAUAGAACCUGAAACUGUGUGCCUACAAGGAGUCGGAGCGGACUUGUUCCGUGACGGCGUGCUUUUUGUAGAACGAUCCAACGAGUUAUUCUAUAGUGCAGCUUAAGGUGUAUACCGGAGGCACAGCGAAAGCGAGUCUGAAUAGGGCGCAUGUACUAUGGAAUAGACCCGAAACCCGGUGACCUAACCAUGACCAGGCUGAAGUAUCGGUAAAACGAUGCGGAGGGCCGAACCAAUGUAGUGACUGCUUGGAUGAGUUGUGGUUAGCGGUGAAAUGCCAUUCGAACCGGGAGAUAGCUGGUUCUCCUCGAAAUAGCUUUAGGGCUAGCGUCGCGCGGUAGCAAUUGGGGGUAGAGCUCUGAAAAGAACUGAGGCUGGCAACGGUACUCACUCUUACCAAACUACGAAUACCAAUUGUGGAAUCGCGGCAGUUAGAACACGGGGGCUAAGCUCCGUGCUCGAAAGGGAAACAGCCCAGACCAUCGUCUAAGGUCCCUAAAUCAAUACUAAGUGGGAAACGAACUGAGGCUUCUUAAACAGCGAGGAUGUUGGCUUAGAAGCAGCCAUUCAUUUAAAGAGUGCGUAACAGCUCACUCGUCGAGAAGCCUUGGGCGGAAGAUGUAACGGGGCUAAAGUAUUGUACCGAAGACAUGGAUUGCAGUUUUUACUGCAGUGGUAGAGGAGCGUUGAUAGUGCGCUGAAGGUGAACUGUGAGGUUUGCUGGAGAGCUAUCAAGUGAGAAUGUUGGAAUAAGUAACUUCAAGAAAGGUGAGAAUCCUUUCCGCCGAAAGAGUAAGGUUUCCUGGGCAAUGGUAAUCAUCCCAGGGUUAGUCGGGCCUAAGCCGAGGCAGUUUAGCGUAGGCGAUGGACAACGGGUUAAUAUUCCCGUACCGGUAUAAAAUUUUUGAUAAAUUGCGGAGUGGUAGUUUGAGCGGAUUCAUGGUUAUAUCCGUUUAACUAGUUAGAUUUCGAUCGAGCUAGGAGUACGAGUUGUAGGCUUUCGAGCCCGCGACGAGUCAACAAGUCCAUUCUGCCCAGAAAAGUUUAUUAGAUUAUGUUUUAUGCCGCCCGUACCGUAAACCAUUAAAGGUACUCAGGUCGAGUAGACCAAGGCGUACGAGAGAAUCUUGGUUAAGGAACUCGGCAAUAUAGCGACCGUAACUUCGGGAUAAGGUCUGCCUAGCGUAAAAACUAGGUUGCAACAAAAGAGUCCAGGCGACUGUUUAUUUAAAACACAGGUCUCUGCUAACACGAAAGUGGAUGUAUAGGGGCUGACGCCUGCCCAGUGCCGGAAGGUUAAGGGGAUAAGUUAACGCUUUGAACUGAAGCCCCGGUGAACGGCGGCCUUAACUAUUAGGGUCCUAAGGUAGCGAAAUUCCUUGUCGGGUAAGUUCCGACCCGCACGAAUGGCGUAACGAUCUGGACACUGUCUCAACCAAGAUCUCGGUGAAAGUGCAUUGGCGGUAAAGAUGCCGUCUGUCCGCACCAGGACGAAAAGACCCCGUGGAGCUUUACUACAAGUUUACAUUGAAUCGGGUUACAACAUGUGUAGAAUAGGUGGGAGCCUUCGAAGCAGAUGCGCCAGCAUUUGUGGAGGCAUCAGUGAAAUACCACCCUUGUUGUGAUCUUGUUCUUACCCUUACCGUUAUCCGGUAAGGGGACCGUGUAUGCUGGGUAGUUUAACUGGGGCGGUUGCCUCCCAAAGAGUAGCGGAGGCGUUCAAAGGUUGGCUAACUACGGAUGGAAAUCGUAGUGAUAGUGUAAACGCAUAAGCCAGCUUGACUGUGAGACUUACAAGUCAAACAGGGACGAAAGUCGGAGUUAGUUGUCCUCUGUUUUGUAAUUUAUUACAUUAGCGCGUGGUAGCGGCAGAGCUUACGGAUAAAAGUUACCCCGGGGAUAACAGGCUUAUAGCGCCCAAUAGUUCACAUUGACGGCGCUGUUUGGCACCUCGAUGUCGGCUCAUCACAUCCUGGAGGAGGAGCCUCUUCCAAGGGUUCGGCUGUUCGCCGAUUAAAGUGGUACGCGAGCUGGGUUAAGAACGUCGUAAGACAGUUCGGUUUAUAUCCGGUGUGGACGAGUAGGAAUUGUGAGAGUAGCUGCCCCUAGUACGAGAGGACCGGGGUGGACGAACCUCUGGUGUGUCAGUUGUUGUACCAACAGCAUUGCUGAGUAGCUAAGUUCGGACCGGAUAAGUGCUGAAAGCAUAUUAAGCACGAAGCCGCACUCAAGAUUACAGUUCCCUAGGAGAUCCCUGAAAGACCAUCAGGUUGAUAGGUAUGCGGUGAAAGCAUGGCAACAUGUUGAGCCUACAUAUACUAAUAGAUCCAUUGAGCUUUUAUG
rnacentral:rRNA from 1 species